rnacentral:rRNA from 1 species
AGGAAAAUGCGGGGUGCUUACACAUGCAAGUCGAGCGGAAGGCCACUUCGGUGGUACUCGAGCGGCGAACGGGUGAGUAACACGUGAGUAAUCUGCCCCUGGCUUUGGGAUAGCCACCGGAAACGGUGAUUAAUACCGGAUACGACAACUUCUCGCAUGGGAUGGUUGUGGAAAGUUUUUCGGCCAGGGAUGUGCUCGCGGCCUAUCAGCUUGAUGGUGAGGUAAUGGCUCACCAUGGCUUCGACGGGUAGCCGGCCUGAGAGGGUGACCGGCCACACUGGGACUGAGACACGGCCCAGACUCCUACGGGAGGCAGCAGUGGGGAAUAUUGGACAAUGGGCGGAAGCCUGAUCCAGCAACGCCGCGUGAGGGAUGACGGCCUUCGGGUUGUAAACCUCUUUCAGCAGGGACGAAGCGCAAGUGACGGUACCUGCAGAAGAAGCACCGGCCAACUACGUGCCAGCAGCCGCGGUAAUACGUAGGGUGCGAGCGUUGUCCGGAAUUAUUGGGCGUAAAGGGCUCGUAGGCGGUUUGUCGCGUCGGGAGUGAAAACCAGGUGCUUAACACCUGGCUUGCUUUCGAUACGGGCAGACUAGAGGUAUUCAGGGGAGAACGGAAUUCCUGGUGUAGCGGUGAAAUGCGCAGAUAUCAGGAGGAACACCGGUGGCGAAGGCGGUUCUCUGGGAAUGACCUGACGCUGAGGAGCGAAAGUGUGGGGAGCGAACAGGAUUAGAUACCCUGGUAGUCCACACCGUAAACGUUGGGCGCUAGGUGUGGGGUCCAUUCCACGGAUUCCGUGCCGCAGCUAACGCAUUAAGCGCCCCGCCUGGGGAGUACGGCCGCAAGGCUAAAACUCAAAGGAAUUGACGGGGGCCCGCACAAGCGGCGGAGCAUGCGGAUUAAUUCGAUGCAACGCGAAGAACCUUACCUGGGUUUGACAUACACCCUGCCGCUCCAGAGAUGGGGCUUCUUUUGGGGGUGUACAGGUGGUGCAUGGCUGUCGUCAGCUCGUGUCGUGAGAUGUUGGGUUAAGUCCCGCAACGAGCGCAACCCUUCGUUCUAUGUUGCCAGCACGUAAUGGUGGGGACUCAUAGGAGACUGCCGGGGUCAACUCGGAGGAAGGUGGGGAUGACGUCAAGUCAUCAUGCCCCUUAUGUCCAGGGCUUCACGCAUGCUACAAUGGCCGGUACAAAGGGCUGCGAUCCCGUAAGGGGGAGCGAAUCCCAAAAAGCCGGUCUCAGUUCGGAUUGGGGUCUGCAACUCGACCCCAUGAAGUCGGAGUCGCUAGUAAUCGCAGAUCAGCAACGCUGCGGUGAAUACGUUCCCGGGCCUUGUACACACCGCCCGUCACGUCACGAAAGUCGGCAACACCCGAAGCCGGUGGCCCAACCCUUGUGGAGGGAGCCGUCGAAGGUGACUGCCAGUCCU